rnacentral:rRNA from 1 species
CUACGGGAGGCAGCAGUGGGGAAUAUUGCACAAUGGACGAAAGUCUGAUGCAGCAACGCCGCGUGGAGGAUGACACAUUUCGGUGCGUAAACUCCUUUUAUAUAAGAAGAUAAUGACGGUAUUAUAUGAAUAAGCACCGGCUAACUCCGUGCCAGCAGCCGCGGUAAUACGGGGGGUGCAAGCGUUACUCGGAAUCACUGGGCGUAAAGCGCAUGUAGGCGGACUUGUAAGUUGGAAGUGAAAUCCUAUGGCUCAACCAUAGAACUGCUUCCAAAACUGCUUGUCUAGAAUAUGGGAGAGGUAGAUGGAAUUUCUGGUGUAGGGGUAAAAUCCGUAGAGAUCAGAAGGAAUACCGAUUGCGAAGGCGAUCUACUGGAACAUUAUUGACGCUCAGAUGCGAAAGCGUGGGGAGCAAACAGGAUUAGAUACCCGGGUAGUC